CAGCCCUCUUGCUCUCUGAGACUCGAUUCUUCCCCUCGUUCCCUCUCUGCCUCACCUCGCUACUCGCUUACUACUCGGCUCGUCACCACCUCUCUCGGCUUUUCCCUUUCUCAGCCCAAGACCCAAGUGGCAAUCACUACCUCUCGAUCUCUCCCAUCGAUUCCAUAUCUUGUUGUUCGUCAAGUCUCCAAGAGGCUGCAUUCCAAUGAUAGCUUAUAUUCAAUAUGGUAGAAAUGCCUUACGGCAUAUUAUUAAAG
rnacentral:misc_RNA from 1 species